GGGGAAUAUUGGACAAUGGGGGAAACCCUGAUCCAGCCAUGCCGCGUGAGUGAUGAAGGCCUUAGGGUUGUAAAGCUCUUUCAGUAGGGAAGAUAAUGACGGUACCUACAGAAGAAGCCCCGGCUAACUUCGUGCCAGCAGCCGCGGUAAUACGAAGGGGGCUAGCGUUGUUCGGAUUUACUGGGCGUAAAGCGCACGUAGGCGGAUUGUUAAGUCAGGGGUGAAAUCCCAGAGCUCAACUCUGGAACUGCCUUUGAUACUGGCAAUCUCGAGUCCGGAAGAGGUGAGUGGAACUCCUAGUGUAGAGGUGGAAUUCGUAGAUAUUAGGAAGAACACCAGUGGCGAAGGCGGCUCACUGGUCCGGUACUGACGCUGAGGUGCGAAAGCGUGGGGAGCAAAC
rnacentral:rRNA from 1 species